GAAAAGGCCUUUUUUGAGGCCACCUUGUAUUUCAAUAAUAUUUACA
rfam:Brassica napus, WGS project CCCW01000000 data, contig: 5379